UACAGAGGUCUCAAGCGUUGUUCGGAAUCACUGGGCUUAAAGGGCGCGUAGGCGGGUGCUCAAGUCCGUGGUGAAAUCCUCCGGCUCAACCGGAGAACUGCCUCGGAUACUGGGUGCCUCGAGGGUGGUAGGGGUAUGCGGAACUAUCGGUGGAGCGGUGAAAUGCGUUGAUAUCGAUAGGAACUCCGGUGGCGAAGGCGGCAUACUGGACCACCUCUGACGCUGAGGCGCGAAAGCCAGGGGAGCAAACGGG
rnacentral:rRNA from 1 species